GCUGGCGGCGUGCCUAAUACAUGCAAGUCGAGCGAACUGAUUAGAAGCUUGCUUCUAUGCGUUAGCGGCGGACGGGUGAGUAACACGUGGGCAACCUGCCUGUAAGACUGGGAUAACUUCGGGAAACCGAAGCUAAUACCGGAUAGGAUCUUCUCCUUCAUGGGAGAUGAUUGAAAGAUGGUUUCGGCUAUCACUUACAGAUGGGCCCGCGGUGCAUUAGCUAGUUGGUGAGGUAACGGCUCACCAAGGCAACGAUGCAUAGCCGACCUGAGAGGGUGAUCGGCCACACUGGGACUGAGACACGGCCCAGACUCCUACGGGAGGCAGCAGUAGGGAAUCUUCCGCAAUGGACGAAAGUCUGACGGAGCAACGCCGCGUGAGUGAUGAAGGCUUUCGGGUCGUAAAACUCUGUUGUUAGGGAAGAACAAGUACAAGAGUAACUGCUUGUACCUUGACGGUACCUAACCAGAAAGCCACGGCUAACUACGUGCCAGCAGCCGCGGUAAUACGUAGGUGGCAAGCGUUAUCCGGAAUUAUUGGGCGUAAAGCGCGCGCAGGCGGUUUCUUAAGUCUGAUGUGAAAGCCCACGGCUCAACCGUGGAGGGUCAUUGGAAACUGGGGAACUUGAGUGCAGAAGAGAAAAGCGGAAUUCCACGUGUAGCGGUGAAAUGCGUAGAGAUGUGGAGGAACACCAGUGGC
rnacentral:rRNA from 1 species